rnacentral:tRNA from 1 species
GCCCGGGUGGCGGAAUGGUAGACGCUUUCGACUUAAAAUUGAAUUUCCGAAAGGAAGUGCGGGUUCGAGUCCCGCCCCGGGCACCA